GGCUCCGCUGCCGCUCCGGGCCGCCGCCGCUGCCAUGGACGAGAAGUACCUGCCCGAGCUGAUGGCGGAGAAGGACUCGCUGGACCCGUCCUUCACCCACGCCUUGCGGCUGGUCAACCAAGAAAUUGAAAAAUUCCAAAAAGGGGAAGGAAAGGAAGAAGAAAAGUAUAUUGAUGUAGUCAUCAAUAAGAAUAUGAAGUUGGGACAAAAAGUUCUGAUUCCAGUAAAACAAUUCCCUAAGUUCAACUUUGUGGGAAAACUUUUGGGUCCACGUGGUAAUUCUUUAAAGCGUUUACAGGAAGAAACGCUGACAAAAAUGUCUAUUUUGGGAAAAGGUUCUAUGAGGGACAAGACGAAGGAGGAAGAGUUGAGAAAAAGUGGAGAGGCGAAGUAUUUCCACCUAAAUGAUGACCUACAUGUUUUGAUUGAAGUAUUUGCUCCACCUGCAGAAGCAUAUGCCAGAAUGGGACAUGCCUUGGAAGAAAUCAAGAAGUUCCUCAUCCCCGACUACAACGAUGAAAUCAGACAGGCACAGCUUCAAGAGUUAACAUAUUUAAAUGGUGGGUCAGAAACUGCAGAAGUUCCAGUUGUCCGUGGAAAGGCAUCAAUUCGAGCCAGAGGAGUGCCUGUUCCUGCUUUGUCCAGGGGCCGUGGGGGAGUGCCUCCGCCACCAGCAGGAGUGCCCAGAGGGGCACCAGCUCCCCGGGGAGUCCCUCCCAGCAGAGGACCAGUGAGCCGGAGCCGGGGACUCCUGGCCCCCAGAGCACGAGGAGUUCCUCCCCCGGCAGGGUACCGGCCCCUGCCGCCGCCCCCCGCCCAGGACACCUACGGGGAGUAUGAGUAUGAUGAUGGCUAUGGAGCUGCUUAUGAUGAGCAAAGCUAUGAUUCCUAUGAUAACAGCUAUAGCACUCAAGCACAAAGUGGAGCAGAUUACUACGACUAUGGCCACGGACUGAGUGAAGACACCUACGACUCCUACGGGCAAGAAGAAUGGACCAACUCACGACACAAGACACCUUCUGCAAGGACAACAAAAGGAGUCUACAGAGACCAGCCAUAUGCCAGAUACUGAUUGUACUGUCUGAUGUUGUGAAAUAUCCAAUCUCCACCAGUCCUGUAUACUGUUCAAAGAAACUCACCUCCUUGGACAGCCAAAAGAACAAAAACCCUAAUCUUCUGACGCUUUGGAACUUCUGCCAUGUUAAUUAUGGACUGCUUAGAGCACUGUACUUACCCUUGUGCUCAGACACUGACGAGACCGAGUAUGAAAAUCCUGCUCAGCAUUUCUUGUAUGAAAGCCUUAAAGUGUAUAACAGCAAACAUACACUUUUUAAAAUAAUUGUAUAUUGAAACUCUUAACUGUAUAGUGAUGCAACAAUGUUUUAUUUGGAGCUCAAUAAAGAAUUUCCGUCUAAGUUCCUGUUACAAAGCAAUAAUGCAACCUCCCAUUCUUCAGUGACUCUUUUUAGCCUUAUGCAGCAAGUGUAAGAGAGUGUGUGAAGUCUCAUGACUGGAACUUAAAUGCUUCUGGAAAUAGCUUGUCUAAUGUAUGAACAACAUGGAUAAGUUAAAAUGAAGACUGGUGUUUUCUGCUGAAGCUUUUCUUAAUAGCUAAUUGUAAACAAAUCUGCUCCAGACAAGACUCAUGGGUAAAAAUAAUGCUCCAACUUCCAUUUCCUUCAAAAACUUGUAUAACAAGAAAGUGUUUAAUCCCUGUCAAUUAUUAUAUCAAUAAGGAGCAAUCCCUGCUGCUUAUUCUCUUUCACUUGGUGUUUGAUGCAUAGAAAUCUUUUCUCUAAUACAGUCACAGGUUUUCUAGUUGUAGUCUUGGAUGAGGCUUUUACACCUUGAUAAAUCUUGUAUCCAACAGUCAU